AGUGAACGCUGGCGGCAGGCCUAACACAUGCAAGUCGAACGAACGCUCCGGGUUUCGUGGCGCUUAGGGGCGGACCGCGGGGGAACGCGUCGGUAACCUCCGAAUAAUUCAGGGAAACCUGUGCUAAAAGCGGGCUAGUACCGCGUGUGGAAGUGUUAUCGUCCUUAGGGCGGCCGGCGUCCGACUAGCCAGGUGGGUGGGGUAAUGGCUUACCAAGGCGACGAUCUGUAGGUGGUCUGAGAGGACGAUCAGCCACAUUGGGACUGAGACACGGCCCAGACUCCUACGGGAGGCAGCAGUGGGGAAUCUUGCGCAAUGGGGGAAAGCCUGAAGCAGCCAUGCCGCGUGAGGGAUGAAGGUCUUAGGGUUGUAAAAUUCUUUUAUCGGGGACGAUGAUGACGGUACCCGGAGAAUAAGCCCCGGCUAACUUCGUG
rnacentral:rRNA from 1 species